GACGAACGCUGGCGGCGUGCUUAACACAUGCAAGUCGAACGGAAAGGCCCUGCUUUUGUGGGGUGCUCGAGUGGCGAACGGGUGAGUAACACGUGAGUAACCUGCCCUUGACUUUGGGAUAACUUCAGGAAACUGGGGCUAAUACCGGAUAGGAGCUCCUGCUGCAUGGGGGGGGUUGGAAAGUUUCGGCGGUUGGGGAUGGACUCGCGGCUUAUCAGCUUGUUGGUGGGGUAGUGGCUUACCAAGGCUUUGACGGGUAGCCGGCCUGAGAGGGUGACCGGCCACCUUGGGACUAAGAUACGGACCAGACUGCUACGGGCGGCAGCAGUGGGGAAUAUUGCACAAUGGGCGGAAGCCUGAUGCAGCAACGCCGCGUGCGGGAUGACGGCCUUCGGGUUGUAAACCGCUUUCGCCUGUGACGAAGCGUGAGUGACGGUAAUGGGUAAAGAAGCACCGGCUAACUACGUG
rnacentral:rRNA from 1 species